UUCGCCCUUAGAGUUUGAUCCUGGCUCAGGACGAACGCUGGCGGCGCGCCUAACACAUGCAAGUCGAACGAGCGAGAGAGAGCUUGCUUUCUCGAGCGAGUGGCGAACGGGUGAGUAACGCGUGAGGAACCUGCCUCAAAGAGGGGGACAACAGUUGGAAACGACUGCUAAUACCGCAUAAGCCCACGGCUCGGCAUCGAGCAGAGGGAAAAGGAGCAAUCCGCUUUGAGAUGGCCUCGCGUCCGAUUAGCUAGUUGGUGAGGUAAUGGCCCACCAAGGCGACGAUCGGUAGCCGGACUGAGAGGUUGAACGGCCACAUUGGGACUGAGACACGGCCCAGACUCCUACGGGAGGCAGCAGUGGGGAAUAUUGCACAAUGGGGGAAACCCUGAUGCAGCGACGCCGCGUGGAGGAAGAAGGUCUUCGGAUUGUAAACUCCUGUUGUUGAGGAAGAUAAUGACGGUACUCAACAAGGAAGUGACGGCUAACUACGUGCCAGCAGCCGCGGUAAAACGUAGGUCACAAGCGUUGUCCGGAAUUACUGGGUGUAAAGGGAGCGCAGGCGGGAAGACAAGUUGGAAGUGAAAUCCAUGGGCUCAACCCAUGAACUACUUUCAAAACUGUUUUUCUUGAGUAGUGCAGAGGUAGGCGGGAAUUCCCGGUGUAGCGGGGGAAUGCGUAGAUAUCGGGAGGAACACCAGUGGCGAAGGCGGCCUACUGGGCACCAACUGACGCUGAGGCUCGAAAGUGUGGGUAGCAAACAGGAUUAGAUACCCUGGUAGUCCACACUGUAAACGAUGAUUACUAGGUGUUGGAGGAUUGACCCCUUCAGUGCCGCAGUUAACACAAUAAGUAAUCCACCUGGGGAGUACGACCGCAAGGUUGAAACUCAAAGGAAUUGACGGGGGCCCGCACAAGCAGUGGAGUAUGUGGUUUAAUUCGACGCAACGCGAAGAACCUUACCAAGUCUUGACAUCCUGCGACGGUUCUGGAAACAGAACUUUCCUUCGGGACGCAGAGACAGGUGGUGCAUGGUUGUCGUCAGCUCGUGUCGUGAGAUGUUGGGUUAAGUCCCGCAACGAGCGCAACCCUUAUGGUCAGUUACUACGCAAGAGGACUCUGGCCAGACUGCCGUUGACAAAACGGAGGAAGGUGGGGAUGACGUCAAAUCAUCAUGCCCUUUAUGACUUGGGCUACACACGUACUACAAUGGCGUUAAACAAAGAGAAGCAAGACCGCGAGGUGGAGCAAAACUCAGAAACAACGUCCCAGUUCGGACUGCAGGCUGCAACUCGCCUGCACGAAGUCGGAAUUGCUAGUAAUCGCAGAUCAGCAUGCUGCGGUGAAUACGUUCCCGGGCCUUGCACACACCGCCCGUCA
rnacentral:rRNA from 1 species